rnacentral:rRNA from 1 species
GACGAACCGUGCAAACGUUAUUCGGAAUCACUGGGCUUAAAGGGCGCGUAGGCGGGCUGGCCAGUCUGUGGUGAAAUCCCCCGGCUUAACCGGGGAACUGCCGUGGAUACUGCCAGUCUCGAGGAGGGUAGGGGCAUCUGGAACAGCCGGUGGAGCGGUGAAAUGCGUUGAUAUCGGCUGGAACUCCGGUGGCGAAGGCGACCUGCUGGACCUUUUCUGACGCUGAGGCGCGAAAGCUAGGGGAGCAAACGGG